rnacentral:rRNA from 1 species
AUGGUUGACGCCCAGAGGCCACUAAAGUGGUCCCACAUGCCUAUCAUUUUCGACGUCGAGGAUCACCCUGAUCGCACAACCACGGUUGGGUGUUUGCCUUUGUUGGUCUCACCAAUGAUACGCAACCUCAAGGUGACAAAAAUAUUAGUUGAUGGCGGGGCCGGUCUGAACUUGAUCUCGCCCAACGUGAUCAAGAGGCUGCAGAUCCAUGAUGAAGAUGUUGAGGAAAUAGGUACAUUCCAAGGAAUUAAUCUAGGGAGAAGCCAGCCCAAGGGGAAGGUCACGCUACCAGUCAUAUUUGGUGGCGACCUAAACUACCGGAUAGAGAGGAUCGUUUUCGAUGUCGCCGAGAUCCCGUUGCCAUAUAACGGGGUCCUUGGCCGUCCGGCGCUAGCGAAGUUCAUAGCAGCGUGA